rnacentral:rRNA from 1 species
CCUACGGGGGGCAGCAGUGGGGGAUAUUGCACAAUGGGGGGAACCCUGAUGCAGCGACGCCGCGUGGGUGAAGAAGCGCCUCGGCGCGUAAAGCCCUGGCAGCAGGGAAGAAAAUGACGGUACCUGAAGAAGAAGCCCCGGCUAACGACGUGCCAGCAGCCGCGGGAAUACGUAGGGGGCAAGCGUUAUCCGGAUUUACGGGGGGGAAAGGGGGCGCAGAGGGCGAGGCCAGCCAGGAGUGAAAGCCCGGGGCCCAACCCCGGGACUGCUCUUGGAACUGCGUGGCUGGAGUGCAGGAGGGGCAGGCGGAAUUCCUGGUGUAGCGGUGAAAUGCGUAGAUAUCAGGCGGAACACCGGUGGCGACGGCGGCCUGCUGGACUGCAACUGACGUUGAGGCCC